AAACUAGAUACAAGCGAGCGGCGGACGGGUGAGUAACACGUGGGUAACCUGCCCAAGAGACUGGGAUAACACCUGGAAACAGAUGCUAAUACCGGAUAACAACACUAGACGCAUGUCUAGAGUUUGAAAGAUGGUUCUGCUGUCACUCUUGGAUGGACCUGCGGUGCAUUAGCUAGUUGGUAAGGUAACGGCUUACCAAGGCAAUGAUGCAUAGCCGAGUUGAGAGACUGAUCGGCCACAUUGGGACUGAGACACGGCCCAAACUCCUACGGGAGGCAGCAGUAGGGAAUCUUCCACAAUGGACGAAAGUCUGAUGGAGCAACGCCGCGUGAGUGAAGAAGGGUUUCGGCUCGUAAAGCUCUGUUGAUAGUGAAGAAAGAUAGAGGUAGUAACUGGCCUUUAUUUGACGGUAAUUACUUAGAAAGUCACGGCUAACUACGUGCCAGCAGCCGCGGUAAUACGUAGGUGGCAAGCGUUGUCCGGAUUUAUUGGGCGUAAAGCGAGUGCAGGCGGUUCAAUAAGUCUGAUGUGAAAGCCUUCGGCUCAACCGGAGAAUUGCAUCAGAAACUGUUGAACUUGAGUGCAGAAGAGGAGAGUGGAACUCCAUGUGUAGCGGUGGAAUGCGUAGAUAUAUGGAAGAACACCAGUGGCGAAGGCGGCUCUCUGGUCUGCAACUGACGCUGAGGCUCGAAAGCAUGGGUAGCGAACAGGAUUAGAUACCCUGGUAGUCCAUGCCGUAAACGAUGAGUGCUAAGUGUUGGGAGGUUUCCGCCUCUCAGUGCUGCAGCUAACGCAUUAAGCACUCCGCCUGGGGAGUACGACCGCAAGGUUGAAACUCAAAGGA
rnacentral:rRNA from 1 species